UUGAUGAUCGAUACAGAGAGCCAAGAAAGCAGGCCCAGAUAGCAAGUUUAUACAUGCCCCUGUACGGCAUGCUCCUGGACAAUAUGCCGAGGAUUUAUCUGAAGGACCUGUAUCCUUUUACUGUCAAUACAUCUAAUCAGGUACGUUUGCACAAUAUGUCACAUUUCUAUGUUAAUAAAGAAUUUGUCUUUUUUUAAUUAUUUUUUGCCCUGGAUAACCAUUUCUUCUCAUCUGUGAACAUACUAGGCAUUGAACAACACUUUUUGCUAUGUACUCACAUCAAUGUGUCAUUUGUUCCAGAUAGGUCCCUUUAGCCUCCGCCUGAUCCACCCUUCAGCAUUUUGCUUUCAUUUCCCUCUGUUCUCUGUAUCACCUUCCAAUUCUUUCCAGCUUUUACAGGUUCCUCUGUUGCAAUUAUGGCCCCUUCCUCAGUGGACACCUUCUCCUACCACUUUCUACAUUCCCUACAUCCCCACCUGGUGUCAGAAUAAAUAGCCAAGUGCCUUAUUUGUAGUCACAACCCAGGAGUGACUAUAAUCCUUCCUCCACUGAGGCACCACAGU
rnacentral:sRNA from 1 species